AGGAGAUAAUCGAGGGGGUGUAUUGAGAACUGAGGGUCGGGUGGUGGGGCAGGUGACUGGGGGAAGCUUUGGUGGGACAGAGGAUCCGAUUGGGAAGAGGGGCAGUGUGGGAUCAGAGGUCAGAACGCCUGUUGAGUGAUGGUGUUUGUGUACUGAGACCUGUGAGACCUGGGAACAGAGUUACUCCAAGUGCAGAGAUGGAGACGGCUGAGCUGUCAGUGCACGAAGGGCCGCAGGGCUGUGCUGACCCACACACCACAAUGACUGCACAGCAAUGGACUCACAGCUCACAGAGAGGCGGGUGGGAGGAGGUCAAGGCAGCACAGACACACACAGCCCUUCAUCACUGCGGGCUGCAUCCCCUCAGCCCCCCCCCGUGCGGCGGCUGCCCGCGCCUCGCGCUCUCCCUCAGGCACAAAAUGGCGGCGCCGCUCAGCGCCGUGUUCCCGCGCGGCCUCAGCGGGGUAGGAACCUUUGAUGCGCGGAACUCGCGGGCGCGGGGGGCGGUUUCCGGCCCGGCCCGGCCCGCCGCCAUGGCCGAGGGCUCGGCGGAGCUGGAGCUGUUCCGCCGGCGAUGGCGGGAGGAGCUGGCGGCGGGCGGCAAGAGGAGGCGGCGGGAGGAGGCGGAGGAGCCCGACGGGUCGGUACGGGACGGGUCGGGCUGCAUAGAGCUGGCCUGCGGCCUGCUGGACAGAGAGAGCCCGGCCCCGAGCAGCCCUGCUGCCGCCCGGCACUGCGAGGAGACCGCGGGGGAUGAGGCCGACGACCUGCUGGGACAGCUUAUCCGCGACCUGAAUGAAAUCAAUGAGAUUCCUUUCUUUGAUGUCCAUCUGCCCUAUGAACUGGCAUUGAAGAUAUUUCAGUAUCUGGGAAAGGCUGAACUGGGGAAGUGUGCUCAGGUCAGCAGAACAUGGAAAGUGCUCGCAGAAGAUGAAGUGCUGUGGUACCGGCUGUGCCAACAGGAAGGAUACCUGUUGGAUGUGAGCAUCUCUGAUCGGCCCUGCUGGAAGCUCGCCCUGAAGGACUGCCGUGCCAAAGAGCGUGCUUUGCGAACCAACUGGAAGAACCGCAGUGGUGCUGUGAGUCAGCUGCAAUACGAGCUGGGAAAAAUCCUAUGUGAUGUACAUUCUUGUGAUGGAGUUGUUAUUGCUGGAUACACAUCGGGGGAAGUGAGGUUGUGGGACACGCGCACCUGGGACUACACAGCCCCCAUCCUGGAGCCAGUGCACGGUCCUGGUGAUGCUGGACCUCAGCCACAUGUCUCCUUUGUGAGGAUAAACAGCUCUCUGGCUGUAGCAGCUUAUGAGGACGGUACUGUGAGUGUUUGGAGCCUCAUGAUAGGGCGCGAGCCGAUCCAUCGCUACCAGCAUAACCAGAGGAUACAGGCUUUAGCUCUGGGCUCCAAGGGUGCAACAGUAGCAACAGCAUCUGGCUUUGAGGUCAAGGUGGAAAGCCCUGAUGACAGGGGGUUCUGGCAAACUACAGGAACAUUUGAAAUCCAGAAAUUGGUAAACUUCCUUCAUCUGGUUCCAGAUGUUUGGGACAAUCCAGUGGCAGUAGCAGCUGCAGAAGAUGUUGUCUAUGUCCUGAAAGGAGAAGACCCUGGGACAGUCCUCCAUUCUGUCUAUGGUCAGCCUGUCACGUGUCUUGACGUCUCUGCUCAUGAAGCAGCCUUUGGGGUCAAAAGCUUUGGCUGGAUACUGAACGAGCCCAACCAGGUUCUUCUUUACAACCUGGAAACAAGUCAGUGUCUAAAGAAGCUAGGCAACUCCAUGGGUGACUUUACAUGCGUCAACCUCCAGCACAGUCCUCCAAACAUGCUCGUUACAGGCAAUAAAGACAGAAGGCAACUACUGCUCAAGCACUGGAACAGGAGAGUCACAGCCUUUCACAAGAGCACCUUCCUUACAGCUCCCUUCAACUGGGAUGAAUCCGAUGUGCUCCCACUGAGCCCAGCUGUUGAGGCAGGAGAUGGAGGGCAGUGCCAGGGUCAGAGUGUACGACCUCCGCAGAAGCACAGCACUGUGCUCCCUCUACGCCCACCGACUGGGGGUGUCUGCAGUGCAGAUGGAUGACUGGAAGAUCGUCAGUGGGGGAGAAGAUGGGUUGGUGUGUGUGUGGGACCAGCGGAUGGGCACCAAGCUCUGGGAGAUGCACGCCAGGCAUCCAGUGCGCUACGUGUGGUUUAAUUCUCACAGCCUCAUCACUGCCAACAUCCCUGAUGAGAAAACUCCCCGCGGUGCCAGCAUCAUGGACGACGACCUCACUGCACACCGCAGGCAUCGAGGAAUCAUUUAUGCCUACGAGUUCUCUGUGGACCAGCUGGCUGUAGAGAGCGUCCUCCCCAUCUGCCGUUCUUCCUACGAUGAGGUGAUGGGUUACAACUACAACAUCGGCCUCGCGGUGCCCUAUGAUCACAUCUAGGUAACUCACCUGCCUCAGCACUCUGCCACAUGAGAGGCCGAAGGCAAAAGGGCAAUUCAUUGGGGCAGAGCACCAGCAGGACUUGCUGGCUGCAGGUGCAUGGGGAGUGCUGAGCUUCAGCUGAAAACAUGGGGCUGUGAACCACAGCAGAGCAGGGCUGCCCUCCAGCUUAGUGCUAGAACAUAGAUCCAGAGAUCCUCUGUGGAGGAACAGGGAGACUGAAGGAUGAGGGUGAGCCGUGUGCUCCGAUCGAACAGAAGUGUUCUGUCCUGCUGCCUGUGGGAGGAACGCUGCAGAUCCCAUCUUGGCAGAUGGGCUGGGCUGCUUGGGAAGUGACAAAGUACUGAUUUGGGGGAGAGCAGCAGGGAGGGCACGGCCUGCAGGUGCCCCAACGUGCAGGGAGAAAAGUGGGAUCACCCUGCUGAGCCCAUGGAUCUGACACUGCUUGUCUUAUAAUGAGCUGCUCGCUGUUCUGUGAGCGCAUCAGGACAUGUGUAGAAGCAGCCAUGAGCACUGAAGAUGAUGGGAUUUGGGAGAGGGGAGGCUGAUGAAGAAGUGACGGUUGGCCCAGUCCAGCCUGGAUGACUGGAAACCCACAGCAAGUCACACAUCAAAAUGGUUUUAAAAUGAAUUAUUUUUUUAAUUCUCUACAAUUGUAGAUUAAAUGUUUUCUGACUCUGUA